AAGCAUCACCUCAACUCUGACAGUUCAGCACAUGCGGAACAACGACGUUACCAACUUAUAAAAUUGAGGCUCAGAUCUUUUAGCAGAACGUCUUGCCACCGUUAGAAUAGUCUACGUGGAUACCUAAUAUAAUUUUGGUUAAUUAAAAUAAGUAUUUGAUUUCAGUUUAUAGAUUAUUGUGAGACAUUGUUGAAGUACCUCUAUGGGGGGAUUGAUGAGUGAUAGCUGCAGACCAUGUGUUAUUAUAUGUGCUGUAUUACUGCUGUCCUCCGUCAUGGGAUACAGACCAGUAAUUAUUGUUCACGGGAUAUUAGAUGGACCCAGACAGUUCGAGAUGUUAGAGAAAUUUAUCAAUCAGUCUCAUCCAGGUACCAAUGUGACCACACUAGCCCUGUAUGACUACAUUGCCAGUAUGAAGCCACUGUGGCAACAGGUAGAUGGCUUCAGAGAAGCCAUCAGAUCCAUCAUGAAGAGCGCUGAAGAUGGUGUCCAUCUCAUCUGCUUCUCACAAGGUGGUUUGAUAUGUCGAGGAGUUCUUGCUACCCUUCCUACACACAAUGUUCACUCUCUGAUAAUCCUGUCUUCACCACUAGCUGGCCAGUAUGGAGAUUCAUGUUAUUUGAAAUACAUUUUCCCUAAAUUUAUCAAGUCAAGACUGUACCUUUUUUGUUACACUACAUGUGGACAAAAAAUAUCUGUCUGCAACUACUGGAAUGAUCCACACCAAAGAGAGAGAUACUUAAAGAGCAGCAACUAUCUCGCUCCACUGAAUGGAGAGAUAGAGCAUGCCAACUCAACAGCGUGGCGAGACAGCUUCCUGCGCAUAGAGACGCUGGUGCUGAUCGGCGGACCAGAUGACGGCGUUAUUACACCAUGGCAAUCAAGUAUUUUUGGGUUUUACGACGGUAAUGAAACUGUGGUUGAGAUGGAAAAGCAGGAUUGGUAUCUAAGUGAUGCGUUUGGCCUGAAAACAUUAAACGCAAAAGGAGCCGUGGUCAAGUGCGUUUUCCCUGGUGUUCACCAUACGUCCUGGCAUUCAAACCUCACAGUCUACCAGAACUGCAUAGACAAGUGGCUCACCUAAUCUACAGAGACGGAAAGAAAGAAACUGAUGUUCUCACAUACUUUCACACAAUCCUGAAAUGUAAUCAUGUCUUGUGCAGAUUAUGAUUAUACUCUUAUCAAUCACAUAUUUUCUUUGCUAUAACAGACUGUGAUAAUUUAUUAUCUGUGUAGACAAUGAAUGAAUUUCUGGUAUGUGCAGUAGUUGUUUAGCUAUUUUCUAUUUAUGUAAAAUCAGUUUAAACACUGUGAGCAGGUUAUUUUGUCAGUUUUCUAAUUCUAUUUAGGCCUAUCGCGAUAAUAUUUUGUUUUAAUAAAAAUAAAUGUCAUUUUAUAAUUGUUAUAAAAAAUUGUGAUUGCAAGAAAAUGUGUGUACUGUGUAUACAUACACAAAUAAAUAAAUAAACAUUGUAAGUUGUCGUCAGUAAUGCGCAUGGAUGUGCAAACAGCUGGAGCGCGCCACGCAGCUGCGUGCUGAAACAGGUAUUUAUGAUGACGUCAGCAAGGUAGAGCGAGCGCGCGGCGGCUGCCACUCCAGUUCGGACGCGCGAGAGCUCCUGUUCGAGACCGAGGAAACGCUUCCUGAGCUUCGUGCUCAAGGCCAGUGUAUCCAGCCCAUGUAAACAUUGACUGUCAGUAGAAGAGAGUGGCCUGUCAUUCACUGGAUCCACCCAGCCAAAGGACAACAGUGAACAAAACCAUACAAUACAACUACUGAUAGAUUUAUUCAGAGCACCUGCUGUAUUUAUGAUGACUACACGAGGUAAAAGUGAAGGAUGCCGCAUCUGUGGAAGUGACCUGCAGGGUAACCAGCGGCGAUGGUUGUAUGCGGGUCAGAACAGAAAGGGGGCACAACCUCAGACCCCAACUGACUUUUCGAGCAAGGGAAGCUUGCCCAGAUCGGCACAAAGCAGCCCAUGGGGCAGCACUUUAUCUCUGGGCUCCUCCCGUUCGCUCUCGAAGUCUCGUGGCCUGCUGACCCCUACGAAAGGAAUCGACCUGCUCUGUGUGCUGACACACAUAUUAGAGCAGCCUGUACCACGUGGAGCCGGUCAGGGGGAGUUUUUGUGUGGCAAGUGUGUGUCAGUUCUGGAGCGAGUUUUCAAGUUCGACACCGUUAUCGCCCGAGUCCGAGUGCUGUCGGGCGAGAGACUCCAGAAACUCACUCAGGAAAGGGACAAGAUUAGGCGAUGGGUGCGAAGCAUGUACGAUCAGCGCCACCCUUCUAGUUCAAAAAGAAAAGGAAGCUCCAGUGAGGAUGAAGGGGACAGGAAGGAUUCCGUUGGGGAAGGAUACAGAGAACUGCUGAGGGACAACAUGGCCCUCUCCGAGUAUGAAUGGUGGUCCGAGAAAGCAGAGUCAUGUCCGUAUUAUAGGAAAACAGGGAAACGGUGUCAUCAAGGCAAGAAGUGUGAGGGUUGCGACUCCUUGAGGGUGUCCGACUCUGACUAUGAGUCCGUUUGUGGGAUUCCGCGUCACUUACCCGAACAAGCCUUCACGUCAUUGGGCCUCUCUCGAGACAAAUCCUGCAGCAUGCCUCUUCAUUGGUCGAGAGUGCCAUCUGUCAGAUCAAGCCCUGCCUCGCUGUCCGGUUCCUGUCAUUCUUUGCGAUCUCAAUCCCGCACUACCUCCAUCCAGUCGCUGGACUCGAUAGACGGCACUGAUCCAUUUGAUUGGCCAGAGGAGCAUUCGGCCAUUUUAGACACCGUUUUCAAAGAGUUGAGGGGAAUUGAAGGAAAGCCAGUAAGGUCUCCUGCUGGAAGUCGUAUUCCAGUGUUGGACAGAGGGGACGUGCAGAACGGGAAAGAUGAGGUAGGACCGAAAGUGGGGUUAGUGAGGGUCCUGAAUUUCGGAGAAGGAGACAAUGGGACGGAGGAUGAGUUUGAAGAAGAGAAUGACAUCCUGACCGAGCUAAAAGAUGACUUUAUGCCAUUACAAAGAGGGUCGUCUGCAGGUAAGGUGCACCUUGCUGUGAAGCAGUUGCGUGAACAACUUGUUCAAGCUCAGGCUCGCAUCAGAGCUCUUGAGGCUCAGCUCAAGGAGACCAACAAACCAGCAACCGACGCUCCUGCAAAGCAGUUGAAGUCUCCGCAAGUGACCAGUUUGAAGAAUAAAAAUGACCUCAUAGAGAGUCUCAGCCAGUCACUACACAGCAGAGAGAACGUAAUCCAGGAAUGUGUGACUUUGAUCCAGAAGCUGUGUGCUGAGCAGGGAGUGGAAUCAGAGGACUCUGACAAAUUCAUCAAAAAACUGGCCAGUGCAGUGACUGAUACACGCAGUGAACGUGAGGAAGUCUUGGAGGCUCAGCUGUCAGAUGCGAGCGAGAGGGAGAAAGCCCUGGAGAAACAGCUGCAGGCCGUAAGGGACGCUGGCAGAGAGCGAGACAGAGACUUCAUCACACUCAACACUGUGCUCCAGUGUAACCAGGAUGUUAUUAACCACCUGCGUGUAGAGCUUGCAGAGCGAGAUCGAGCCCAACAGGAGAUGAUGAAAGAAUGGGAAGUGUGGAAAGAGAGAGAUUCAGCCCUGACUGCACUGGUGAAGGAUAACAAAGACUAUAUUUCCCAGCUAAAGGAGGCGCUCGAGAGUUCACGCAAAGAUGUGCAGGCACUAUCAGACUCUCUGAUUGGACGGGGGUUGGAUGGGGGAGGAGCUGAGGCUGGAUUGGUCAAUCAACUGCAAGAGAAAGAAGCUCUGCUGGAGGCAAGCUUCAGAGAUAGAGAGGAGCUCAGCUCCACCAUGUUGCAGGAGAUCUCAAGACUCUCCUCUGCCUUAACCGACACUGAAAACCUCAUACUGGACCAAAGAGAAAAUCACAAACGUGCCAUCACUGUCCUAUCACAGCAACUCAAAGACACACUCAAGGAGCUGAGAGAGAAAACCAAGGAGAAGAAGGAGGCUGAACUAGGGUGGAAGAAGGAAAAUAAGGAGAGAGCUUUCGAGGAAGGAAAACUGAGAGACAAUCUUCAGAAGAGGGAUAAACUUAUAGAGCAAGUUCUUCUGGAGUUAGAGGAGCGGGAUGGCGUGUUAACAGAGCUACAGCAAAACAUCUCUAGCAGACUUGGACCCAAAACAGCCCUCAAACACACACUGUGAGUGUGUGAUUAAACACGUACUGUGAGUGUUCUUGUAUACAAUGAACUGCACAAUAUAUUGUUAAUUGAGUGCAAUGUCUAAAUUAUCUCUGAUGUCUGUCAUUUUGCUGUACUAAACCAACAGAAAUGAGGAUCUGCAGAUCUGGUUCAGCUUCGGAUAAAUAUUUUAUUCUGUUAAAUUCUUAUGGCAAAUCUCUAGUUUAAUCAAGUAAAUUGAGACAGGCUAAUGUGUAUAGUAAGUUGUGAAUAGUGUCAAUUGUUCUGCCAGAUUGCUCUCAACUGAACUUUUGAAGAGAUUGAGGGUAUAUUAUGAAAUGUUAUUUUAGUUCAUAUGAAUUUAUGACUGGACCAUUACAGGUUGAUUUAGUCAUUUUGAUUGAAUGCAGCCAUAAAAUGUUUUGAUUACUUCCCACAUCGUCAGAUUGUGGUUCCAAGAUUUACAUAGUUACACACACGUGCCUUUUCAGCACUCAUAUACAUGCUUUGCUUAUUAAUAAUUAUUUUUCCAUAUCCCACAGUCCCUGCAGCCUUUAAUUGUUGUUAUUAUUAUUCUUAAAUGUUUAAAUUGUGUUUUAUUGAUUAUGACUGCUGAAUAUGUUGAAUGCUGCUUUUCUCUUAUUGUUUGAUCCAUCUUUUCAUGUUCUUUUCCAUGUGAUCAUAUGUUUGUCUUGUAUUUAUAAAUGUUUUUGAGAUGCAGUUAUAGUCCCAACUGGGAUGUGCCAUCUUUGUUCCAGUGUAGGGAAAUCUUUUUCACAAUAGAAGGAUUUACAGACUGUCCGAAAAGGACGUUUUUAAUUUGCUCAUACUUUAUUUGGAUAAGCUGGAUUCCCCACAACUUGGUGCAUACCUCAUAAAUCACAUUUAAAAUGAAGCCUCAAGUUUGUGUGGGUUUUGCAGUUGGAAAGGUUUUGUUGGAGGUUUUCUUUUAUGUCUGAAAUAUUAAAGGUUCUUUCUUGAGAACUCAGGGGUUUAAUUGACAAUAAAGCCUCAAAAAUCUAAA